CUCAGACUGAGAGGAUCAAAGAAGGCUGUACAAAUGGCUUAGCAUUCGAAGAGCAGCAGUUCAGCAGCUGAGAUGACAGCUAGUUUCUUCUGCUUAAUUUUAUGCUUCCAACUUUAGAAUCAGCAGGGGAAUGGGUGAAAUUUCUUUGCUAGAUGGAGGGAAAAAGGACAUCCUACUAAAAAAAAACAGCCUGCCAGCUGCCAGCUCAUUGAGUUUCUCUGAUGCUUUUCCAGAUAUUACCACAACCCAGGAUACUUCCUACAUUUGCAUGUGUAUUGCGGAAGUUUCCACCCUGUCCUACACACAAGAUGCAGGAGUAUUUUAUGGUUCCUCUCCAGGAAAAAACACCUAGGGGGAGGGUGACAGUCAUAACUACAUCUCUUUAUAGAAUGAAGGAGAAGAAGACCACUGACAACCACUGAUGUCACUUCUGUCCACAUGCCCGAUCUCCUGCCCCUUCUGGUCUAAGCCCUAUUUAAACAAAUUUGCCAAAAUUACCAAAUCUGUUCCAGAGGAAGAUAGUCUUGCUUGAAUUCCAAGCAUUAUCUCCGCAAAGGGAAAUCUACUGAUAGUCCUAUGCAAUUUUCUUUUGUUCUGAUUUUUUUCCUACAGAAAUCUGCUCGAUAUUAUUACCACCUUAGGCCUCAACAUUUUAUCUCUUCUCUGUUCAGUUUGUUAUAGCUCAUAUUCCUGAAUCCUACACUUUGGUUGAUUGAGACAUCUGAUCUGUUUGAGUUAUCAAAGAUUGUUAAUAAGCAUUUCUUGCUGUGACAGAUUUCAACCUCAUGCAGUGAUGGGUUCAGCUUUAGACACAAAGUUCCAGCACCCUCUAACCCAGCAUUGUAUUCAUUAAACAAGUUUGUAAAGAGAGUAAAUUGCUCAUUAUUGUCAAUAUAUUUUCAUUAAAGUGUGUAUAAACACACACCAAAUAAA